GAUGAAGAACGUAGCGAAAUGCGAUACGUAAUGUGAAUUGCAAAUUCAGUGAAUCAUCGAGUCUUUGAACGCACAUUGCGCCCCCUGGUAUUCCGGGGGGCAUGCCUGUCCGAGCGUCAUUGCUGCCCUCAAGCACGGCUUGUGUGUUGGGCCCCGUCCUCCGAUCCCGGGGGACGGGCCCGAAAGGCAGCGGCGGCACCGCGUCCGGUCCUCGAGCGUAUGGGGCUUUGUCACCCGCUCUGUAGGCCCGGCCGGCGCUUGCCGAUCAACCCAAAUUUUUGUCCAGGUUGACCUCGGAUCAGGUAGGGAUACCCGCUGAACUUAAGCAUAUCAAUAAGCGGAGGA
rnacentral:misc_RNA from 1 species